rnacentral:rRNA from 1 species
GACGAACCGUGCGAACGUUGUUCGGAUUCACUGGGCUUAAAGAGCGCGCAGGCGGUCGUUCAAGUCGCGUGUGAAAGCCCCCGGCUCAACUGGGGAGGGUCACGCGAUACUGAUCGACUCGAAGGCAGGAGAGGGUAGUGGAAUUCCCGGUGUAGUGGUGAAAUGCGUAGAUAUCGGGAGGAACACCAGUGGCGAAGGCGGCUCUCUGGGACGGUACUGACGUUGAGACGCGAAAGCGUGGGGAGCGAACAGG